UCCUCAUAUUGAAGAGUAUCCUUCUUUUUAUGAAUUCGCUUCAGUACAUAUCUCCAUUCACAGUCCUCGACAUAUUCUUAAUCCGUUCCACUAUGGAUUUCCAAUGAAAGUCAACACGGUACAUGAAUUUCGACUUAAAAAGGUAGUAAAAAAACUUUUACCUGCACCUUAUGAGACAAAUUGCGUAGAUUACCUAGAAAGAUGGAAAACAAGAGGAGGAUAUGGCCCCACUAACCAGAAAGAAUGCUUUGAGGAAUGCCGAAAGAACGUUAGUAUGGCUGUUCGUAACUGUGUCCCUAGUUACUACGGGUAUCCGGGACAUGAAAAAAUGUGCAAUUAUAAAGGUAAUGUAAAAUUAUGAACUAUUAUAACUCUACUGUGUUCUAUAGAUCGAUUAAGAAAAAAUGCUGUUCACAAGUAUUUACAAUUAUUUUUCUUCUUAUAUUUAAUUAAAUAAAUAUAAAUAAAAACUGUCAUUAUUAAACGUGUAUAAUUUUAUUAACCACUUUUGGCUAUUUUAGAGUACUGAGUUUUCCAAGCAAUCUUUCUGGAUGAUAGGAAUCACCCGAAGUUGCACUGAAUUUUGAUUUCACAUUUUUUUUUUAUUUUU